GCCAGCAGCUAUAUCACCCUGCACCUCUCAAUUGGCUACCAACUGAAGCUAAGCAGGGUUGAGCCUGGUCAGUACCUGGAUGAGAGACCUCCUAGGAUGCUAUGGUUGCUGCUGGAA
rnacentral:rRNA from 1 species